AUUGAACGCUGGCGGCAUGCCUUACACAUGCAAGUCGAACGGCAGCACGGGAGCAAUCCUGGUGGCGAGUGGCGAACGGGUGAGUAAAGUAUCGGAACGUGCCCAGUCGUGGGGGAUAACGUAGCGAAAGUUACGCUAAUCCCGCAUACGAUCUAUGGAUGAAAGCGGGGGAUCCCAAGACCUCGCGCGAUUGGAGCGGCCGAUAUCAGAUUAGGUAGUUGGUGGGGUAAAGGCUCACCAAGCCGACGAUCUGUAGCUGGUCUGAGAGGACGACCAGCCACACUGGGACUGAGACACGGCCCAGACUCCUACGGGAGGCAGCAGUGGGGAAUUUUGGACAAUGGGCGAAAGCCUGAUCCAGCCAUGCCGCGUGCAGGAUGAAGGCCUUCGGGUUGUAAACUGCUUUUGUACGGAACGAAAAGGUUUGGCCUAAUAAGCUGAGCUCAUGACGGUACCGUAAGAAUAAGCACCGGCUAACUACGUGCCAGCAGCCGCGGUAA
rnacentral:rRNA from 1 species